UACAGAGGUGGCAAGCGUUGUUCGGAAUUACUGGGCGUAAAGGCGCGUAGGCGGCCUUCUAAGUCAGACGUGAAAUCCCCCGGCUUAACCUGGGAACUGCGUCUGAUACUGGGAGGCUUGAGUAUGGGAGAGGGAUGUAGAAUUCCAGGUGUAGCGGUGAAAUGCGUAGAUAUCUGGAGGAAUACCGGUGGCGAAGGCGGCAUCCUGGACCGACAUUGACGCUGAACGGCGAAAGCUAGGGGAGCAAACGGG
rnacentral:rRNA from 1 species